ACGCACGCUGGCGGCGUGCUUAACACAUGCAAGUCGAACGGGUCUGCCCUGUUUUUUGCGGGGUGGGUCAGUGGCGAACGGGUGAGUAACACGUGAGUAACCUGCCCCUCACUUCUGGAUAACCGCUUGAAAGGGUGGCUAAUACGGGGUGUUCUGGCUGUGCCGCAUGGUGUGGCUGGGAAAGAUUCACUUUUGUGGUGUUUUGGUGGGGGAUGGGCUCGCGGCCUAUCAGCUUGUUGGUGGGGUGAUGGCCUGCCAAGGCUUUGACGGGUAGCCGGCCUGGGAGGGUGGGCGGCCACACGGGGACUGCGAGACGGCCGAGACUCCUGGGGGGGGCAGCAGUGGGGGGUAUUGCACAAUGGGCGGAAGCCUGAUGCAGCGACGUCGCGUGAGGGAUGGAGGCCUUCGGGUUGUGAACCUCUUUCGCCGGUGAAGAAGGUCCUGCUCUUUGGGGGGGGGUUGACGGUAGCCGGGUUAUGAAGCGCCGGCUAACUACGUG
rnacentral:rRNA from 1 species